rnacentral:rRNA from 1 species
UACGAAGGGGGCUAGCGUUGCUCGGAAUUACUGGGCGUAAAGCGCACGUAGGCGGUCUUUUAAGUCGGGGGUGAAAUCCUGGAGCUCAACUCCAGAACUGCCUUCGAUACUGGAAGACUUGAGUCCGGGAGAGGUGAGUGGAACUGCGAGUGUAGAGGUGAAAUUCGUAGAUAUUCGCAAGAACACCAGUGGCGAAGGCGGCUCACUGGCCCGGUACUGACGCUGAGGCGCGAAAGCGUGGGUAGCAAACAGG